UACGUAGGCAGCAAGCGUUGUUCGGAAUUACUGGGCGUAAAGAGUGUGUAGGCGGUGCUCUAAGUUCGUUGUGAAGUCUCCCGGCUUAACUGGGAGGGUGCGGCGGAAACUGGAGUGCUCGAGCGUGGGAGAGGAAAGCGGAAUUCCUGGUGUAGCGGUGAAAUGCGUAGAUAUCAGGAGGAACACCUGUGGUGUAGACAGCUUUCUGGACCAUAGCUGACGCUGGGACACGAAAGCGUGGGUAG
rnacentral:rRNA from 1 species